AGAGUUUGAUCCUGGCUCAGGAUGAACGCUAGCGAUAGGCUUAACACAUGCAAGUCGAGGGGCAGCAUGGUCUUAGCUUGCUAAGACUGAUGGCGACCGGCGCACGGGUGCGUAACGCGUAUGCAACUUGCCUCACAGAGGGGGAUAACCCGUCGAAAGACGGACUAAUACCGCGUACACUCUAUGUUGGGCAUCCAAUGUAGAGGAAAUGAAAUUCGCUGUGAGAUAGGCAUGCGUCCCAUUAGCUAGUUGGUGAGGUAACGGCUCACCAAGGCGACGAUGGGUAGGGGAACUGAGAGGUUGAACCCCCACACUGGUACUGAGACACGGACCAGACUCCUACGGGAGGCAGCAGUGAGGAAUAUUGGUCAAUGGGCGAGAGCCUGAACCAGCCAAGUCGCGUGAAGGAUGACUGUCUUAUGGAUUGUAAACUUCUUUUAUACGGGAAUAACAAGAGUCACGUGUGGCUCCCUGCAUGUACCGUAUGAAUAAGCAUCGGCUAACUCCGUGCCAGCAGCCGCGGUAAUACGGAGGAUGCGAGCGUUAUCCGGAUUUAUUGGGUUUAAAGGGUGCGUAGGCGGCCUGUUAAGUCAGCGGUGAAAUCUAGGAGCUUAACUCCUAAAUUGCCAUUGAUACUGGCGGGCUUGAGUGUAGAUGAGGUAGGCGGAAUGCGUGGUGUAGCGGUGGAAUGCAUAGAUAUCACGCAGAACUCCGAUUGCGAAGGCAGCUUACUAAGGUACAACUGACGCUGAAGCACGAAAGCGUGGGUAUCAAACAGGAUUAGAUACCCUGGUAGUCCACGCAGUAAACGAUGAUAACUGGGCGUAUGCGAUAUACAGUAUGCUCCUAAGCGAAAGCGUUAAGUUAUCCACCUGGGGAGUACGCCGGCAACGGUGAAACUCAAAGGAAUUGACGGGGGCCCG
rnacentral:rRNA from 1 species